rnacentral:tRNA from 1 species
CCUUCGAUAGCUCAGCUGGUAGAGCGGAGGACUGUAGACUGUAGAAAAAUUUGUGGACAUCCUUAGGUCGUUGGUUCGAUUCCGGCUCGAAGGA